GUGAUUCUCCUGCCUCAGCCUCCUGAGUAGCUGGGACUACAGCUGUUUCUGGCAAAGCCUGCCAUGUCUUACAUUUGUCUGUCCAUCCAGAUUAGAUGUUGCUAUAUAAACACAUCGACUGAGGCUCACUGGAACACAUCAGGACUGUGUCUGCAGGAAGGAGCUCCCCGUUCGAGGCCUUCACAGUGUCACCCACGUUCACCUCUUUCCACUUAAUCGUGUGCCAUGAAUCCUGUCAUAACAGUUUUGUGUUCCUUAACUAUUUUGUCUGCCAUGUCAUUUAUGAUGUAUAACCUCUUUAAUGCCUGAAAUCAUAAGAAUAAUCAUCAAAGGCAAGACGGUUGUAUAUUUUCCCGUUGGAGACACGUCUGGAAUUUGCUGCAAUAAAGUAAUAAGCAAGAAGAAAGCAUUGGCAGCUUUGGUAAACUGCAGAUUCAAAAAUCCAGGGAGAAAUGAGCACACGCUGUACUUGGCUGUACAUAUAAUUGUUGACUAUGGGUUGCAGAAAUUUCUCUCAAGCAUCAUCACCACUUUUGCUCAGUUAUCAGUAGUAAUAACAGCAAUCAAAACUGAAACUGCUCCAGAAGCCUCUAGGAAGUAUGGUUUUUCAUCUUUCCUACUGCUUUCUUCACAAGAGAAUCCACCUCAGUGGCAGGCUGAAGGGCCCAGUCUGCAGUCCUGCCACCAGUGCCCUCUGAGCUCCAUGGUUCCACUGCACCAUGGCCGCCCACUGCAUUCACCUCCACACUGAGUUUUCAUUUUUUCCAGUUAAGCCCCAUCUUCCUGAAACGCAGCUCAAGAGGGUCUCUGUCCCCUCUUGAUGGUGGGGCAGGGGUCUGUGCAUCAGACCACACAACCCCCGCACCACCAUCUGCUCCAUCCUCUCCCUCUGGUCAGCUCAGCUUAUUAAACAAGACUUGGUCAGGAAAAUCUAAACCACUUAAGAAACUGGGUAGAAGGAAACAAUGCAGGGAGAAGGCGGCUGGGGAGCCAAGUACAGGAGAUGAGACAUAGGGGAGUCACAGGGACCUGCCACCCAGAUCCCCACUGCCUGAUGUCCUGGCUCUGGAGGACACCUGGAGCUGCCAGCAGAGCCUCCUGCCCACCAGCUGCUGAAGCCACAAUGCAUCUCCUUCCUCCCACCUCCCGGACCUCUCACUGGUCUCAUCUGGGCACCAAACACGGGAAGCCCCUCCUGUGACAGGCAGGGGAGAAGGAGGCUGUGCUGACAGACGGCCCGGUGAGGGAACCCAGGAGGCCUCCAGCAUCUGCACCCCUCUCCUACUUUGACCUCUCUGUUUCACCAACAUUGCACGCCAACCUGAAGUCACAUAGCUACUGUCAAGCCAACGAGGUGCUGCCUCUUCCGCCGUGUGAGGGUGGAGCCCCAUAAGCCACCACUGGAGGCAUCUGAGCAUGUUGAUUCCUUCUCUAGUUCAGACACAACCUCUCCUGGACAUCCUGUGGCCUAAAGACUACCCUAGAAUCAACACUCCUUAAGUAAGAGUGGGGGAAGAAAAGGAAAAUGUGUGUAAUACGUGUGAAUCACAACGUAGUCAUUGGUUAAUAUAUACAACUACGUGUAUUUACAUUCUGUAUGCGGCAAUGAGUAAAAUACUGUGGUUGGCGCUUA